rnacentral:rRNA from 1 species
GACGAACGCUGGCGGCGUGCCUAAUACAUGCAAGUUGAGCGCUGAAGGUUGGUACUUGUACCGACUGGAUGAGCAGCGAACGGGUGAGUAACGCGUGGGGAAUCUGCCUUUGAGCGGGGGACAACAUUUGGAAACGAACGCUAAUACCGCAUAAAAACUUUAAACACAAGUUUUAAGUUUGAAAGAUGCAAUUGCACCAACCAAAGAUGAUCCCGCGUUGUAUUAGCCAGUUGGUGAGGUAAAGGCUCACCAAGGCGAUGAUACAUAGCCGACCUGAGAGGGUGAUCGGCCACAUUGGGACUGAGACACGGCCCAAACUCCUACGGGAGGCAGCAGUAGGGAAUCUUCGGCAAUGGACGAAAGUCUGACCGAGCAACGCCGCGUGAGUGAAGAAGGUUUUCGGAUCGUAAAACUCUGUUGGUAGGGAAGAACGUUGGUGAGAGUGGAAAGCUCAUCAAGUGACGGUAACUACCCAGAAAGGGACGGCUAACUACGUGCCAGCAGCCGCCGUAAUAC